rnacentral:rRNA from 1 species
AUUGAACGCUGGCGGAAUGCUUUACACAUGCAAGUCGAACGGCAGCACGGACUUCGGUCUGGUGGCGAGUGGCGAACGGGUGAGUAAUGUAUCGGAACGUGCCCAGUCGUGGGGGAUAACGUAGUGAAAAUUACGCUAAUACCGCAUACGAUCUAUGGAUGAAAGCGGGGGAUCGCAAGACCUCGCGCGAUUGGAGCGGCCGAUAUCAGAUUAGGUAGUUGGUGGGGUAAAGGCCCACCAAGCCAACGAUCUGUAGCUGGUCUGAGAGGACGACCAGCCACACGGGAACUGAGAGACGGUCCAGACUCCUACGGGAGGCGGCAGUGGGGAAUUUUGGACAAUGGGCGAAAGCCUGAUCCAGCCAUUCCGCGUGCAGGAUGAAGGCCCUCGGGUUGUAAACUGCUUUUGUACAGAACGAAAAGGUUUCUACUAAUACUAGGAGCUCAUGACGGUACUGUAAGAAUAAGCACCGGCUAACUACGUGCCAGCCGCCGCCGUAACAC